rnacentral:tRNA from 1 species
AAAUUUUAUCUGUGCAAUUCAGAUUAAUUUGAUAAUUAUUAUCUUACUUAUUUAAUUUAUUUAUAU